rnacentral:misc_RNA from 1 species
GAUGAAGAACGUAGUGAAAUGCGAUAAGUAAUGCGAAUUGCAGAAUUUCCGUGAGUCAUCGAAGCUUUGAACGCACAUUGCGCCCACUGGUAUUCCGGUGGGCAUGCCUGUUCGAGCGUCAUUAUCCUCCCUCAAACCUCUGUGUUUGGUGUUGGGCCGCGUUGGCGUCACAGCCAACUGGUCUCAAAGACAAUGACGGCGUCCGUGGGACCCUCUUCGCAACGAGCAUCUUCGGAAGCACGUGUCGAGUCUAAAGGACCUUCCGGGCCGGUCUACCCUUUAUCUUUCUAAGGUUGACCUCGGAUCAGGUAGGAAUACCCGCUGAACUUAAGCAUAUCAAUAAGCGGAGGA